rnacentral:rRNA from 1 species
UACGGGGGGAGCAAGCGUUGUUCGGAUUUACUGGGCGUAAAGGGCGCGUAGGCGGUCAGCACAAGUCAGUUGUGAAAUCUCCGGGCUUAACCGAGGAACUGCCGUCCAAACUGCUUUGCUUGAGACCGGGAGAGGUGAGUGGAAUUCCCAGUGUAGCGGUGAAAUGCGUAGAUAUUGGGAGGAACACCAGUGGCGAAGGCGGCUCACUGGACCGGUACUGACGCUGAUGCGCGAAAGCGUGGGGAGCAAACGGGG